GAAUCAAACUUGAAACUCAAAACUUCAACUUAUAAACCCAGAAUAUUCAUGUUAGGUUACAUCAUAGCCCUAGUUAUGAAUUUAGCUACUCAUAAUGGAAAUGAAACUUAAGCAAAAAUGAGAAAACAUAUUGAAUGCAAUAAGAGUAGAGAAACCCAAUUCUGAAGUUGCUUGUGGUUUCCAAGGCUUUUCCAGGUGCUUCUCCACGUCUAAUGCUACUCCAAGAACUUUCUCAUGUCUAGAGUAUGGCAACUAAAGAGGUGAUUUGGGAUGAGUUUGGGUGGUUGGUGAUGGCAGAGAAAGAACAAAUUCGUAGGAAAUGGAAGGAAGGCUUGUUGGAGUUCUUCCCCAUGAUUUUGGGCUGAAUCAAGUGAUAUAAGAUGGCUGGAGUGAAUUCUUGGUCAAUAGAGUGACUCCUUUGCACUUGAGUAGCUGACACACCUCCCUAAAUUGCUCAACAUGUCAGGUCUAAAGUCAAGGAAAGCUGUGGUGAGUCACAUGGCUCAAAGAAAGUAUCCAAGGCUCAAAGAAAGUAUCCAAGGCUCAACAACUGGAAACUGCAAUCCUGAGCCUGGUGUGUAUAUGGGCUCACGAAUUGGGCUCAACUUCAUUAUCUGAUGCAUUUGAGUAGUCCAUCUUGAAGUUCAGACUCUCAUCUUUCCAACUACAUAUUAGUUGGGCCAAUCCAAGUUCGGAGAAAGAUGUUAAGCCCAAAAUGAGUUGCUAACCCAGUCUGCUCGUUUUUGCACCAUUUUGCAUCUUUUCUUAUCCAAAGACACCAUUGCUACCUAAGGCCCAAUGAACUGAAUGAUAAACAGAAAAGGGAUUAAAAGCACACGUUUGACUCAAUAACAUAACCAAAUCAUAAGCUAGAAGGGUACAAAAUGAUAUACAAUUGUGAACUGAUCAAAUACCCCCAGACCUAGAUUUUGCUAGUCCUCGAGCAAAACAAAAGAGAAUAAAGUUGAAAACAAAACAAGAAGUUAACUAAACCACUUCUGUAGGUAACUCGAUUGCAAUGUGCAUAUGCAACAAGCCUUUAAACCUCUCGGCAUCCCUAAUCGGAAGAGUUGUGUCUCCUGAGGGUUUAACAGAAACGAUACCCACAAACACUUUACUGACUCUCUAACACCAAAAGGUUAGAAAACUAACUUUGAAAACAACUAAUGAAAGAAAACAUUAAUCAUGCAUCCAACACCAUAGAGUUACCAAGAUAGAUGAUCAAUAAGUGUGUAAAGUGGAAGCUAUAGCUCAAAGGCACACGGCUUCAAAGUAAACAUACUCAAAUCUUGAAGGAAGAACAUGCUUCAACUCUAAUUCUCACAUCUAGCACUCCAUCACUCAGAACCUAUGGUUUUAUUCUCUCAAACAAGCAUAAGUGAGUAUAUGAAAUAGAAGCACAAUAUUUGGUUAGAUCUCAUGAAGGGAAUCAAAUACUAAGAGUAGAGAUACACACAUACAUACCAGCACCCAUGAAUACAUCCUCAAAGAUCAGCUAGGUCUUUCACAAGGUUGUAAUGAAAGGCUAAGGUUAAGGGAAGUGGAAGAAUUGGAAGGAACAUAACUAACUUAAGAACAUACCAAGGUUGCAUUCUUCAUUGAUCUGCAAGGUAUCAUUGAUUUAGAAUGGUAUGGCUGCAACUUCAUAGCAUCAUCUGGCAUAGACUUUAUAUUUCACAUUUAGAUCAAAUCGAAACACUUUCUCUUUAUCUUUUUUUUUUUUUUUUUUUUUUUGACUUGAUCUACUUCUUCUUUAACUUUAUUGCAUAGAUUCACACCAAUUUACAUUUGGGCAUGUGGCAGCAAUUUACAUUUGGGCAUGUGGCAACAACCUCCUUGCUUCAAACUUUAUCUUGGCACACCUUGGUAUAUUUCUAAGCUAUAGGGUAUGGCUAUAAUAGGUUAAAUAUCUCUGAUUGAGAUACAAAGUUAGGGGAAUUAUGAGGGUGAUAGAAGAAAAAGGCUUGUAGUGUUUGGCUGCAAGAGAGCUGAUGGAACACACGAAUGGGUAGGGUGAAAAGAAAGCACAGAAAAUGGUUAUACACGCAGAGCCUAGCAUCACUUCAAUGAGUUCAUUCAUGGGUGAGAGCACGCACCUAAUAUCUGCAAAGAGAAUCAUCCUUAGUAUUCAACCAAAAUGGAACAAUGAGAUCAUUUAGAGUGAAUUGAAGAAAAUAAGUAGAGAUGAGGAAUAGAAACACUUUAAACCCUCUCAAGAAAGCAAUUAGGCUCGAAAUAGCUCACUAGGGUAGUCUCCACUAUUCUCCUUCAAGAAUCUGAGCAUGAUACUUUAGCCACCAGAAUUCUAAGAGCAAAAGCUUUGUGAAGUGUAAAAUUUCUGAUAUGAAAAUCUCAAUGGCAGCUCCAUAGCAUUGGUUGUAUGAAAUUUUUUUUAAAAUAAAAAAAAUAGUGACAAGCGAACGAAAAUUGUAAACACAAAUGAACAAAAAUUGAAAACCUCCCCCCAAGACCUGAAUUGAACAUUGUCCUCAAUGUUAAAGCAUAACAAAGAUGAGUGAGAACAUGUGAAUAAUAAGGGGAAAGUUUAAGACAAAGUAUUAGAGAAACUCCCUCUUGAUGCGAUUAGGUUGACCGCUACCAAGCACCUUAUUCUUCAACACAUGGGUUGCCUCCCAAGAAGCGCCUUAGUUAAUGUCUUGGCAAGACAUUAUGCCAUUAGCUAACUUGAUUGUACGAAGGGAAGAUGAUCCACCACAUGACCAGUUUGAAUUCCAACUGACACUCCCUCAUAGAAUGGCUUUAAACGUUGUCCAUUUACUUUGAAAGUCGAGCCAUCUUUAGGAUUUUGAAUCUCCACAGCUCCAUAGGGAGAUACAUUGACCACGGUGAAUGGGCCAAGCCACCUAGACUUCAAUUUUCCUGGAAAGAGACGCAAACGUGAGUUAAACAAAAGAACUGACAUACCUUUGGUGAAUUCUUUCCGUUGAAUGUUCCUGUCAUGGUAACUCUUGGUACGUUCUUUGUAUAGCUUUGCAUUCUCAUAGGACUCAUGUCGAAUUUCUUCCAAUUCAUUGAGCUGAAACUUUCUAACAUGGCCGGCCUUGUCCAGAUCAAAAUUCAACUUCUUGAUGGCCCAAAAAGCAUUGUGUUCAAGCUCCAUUGGCAAGUGACAGGCUUUCCCAAACACAAGACGAUAAGGGCUCAUUCCGAUGGGAGUCUUAUAUGCAGUCCUAUAAGCCCAGAAUGCAUCAUUGAGCUUGGCAGCCCAAUCUUUCCUUGUACUAUUCACCACCUUCUCUAGGAUCUGCUUAAUUUCUCUGUUGCUUAUUUCUACUUGACCAGAAGUUUGAGGAUGAUAUGGUGUAGAGACUCGGUGGGUGAUAUUGUACUUCUUCAUGAGUGCUUCAAAUAGCUUGUUGCAGAAGUGGCUGCCUCCAUCACUAAUGACAGCCCUUGGAGUACCAAACCUUGUGAAAAUAUUGUCCCUCAAGAACUUCAGGACCACCUUAUGAUCAUUGGUAUCAACAGCAACAAGUAUGUAGGUAUAACCAAAGGAAGAUGGGAAUGGUCCCAUGAAAUCAAUACCCCAUACAUCGAAGAGUUCCACAAAGAGUAUGUUCUUCAAUGGCAGUUCGUUCCUGCGGCUUAUGUUUCCCAUCCUUUGACACCUAUCACACUUAACACAAAAAUUAAAUGCAUCUUUGAAUAGAGUAGGCCAAAAGAAACCUGAUUGCAAAAUUUUAAGUGCUGUUUUCUUGGCUCCAAAGUGGCCUCCACAAGCCAAUUUGUGGCUAUGCCUAAGGAUGCUUUCUUGUUCUUCUUCUGGAACACAUCUUCUAAUGAGUUGAUCUGGGCAAUGCUUGAAUAAGAAAGGUUCAUCCCAGACAUAAUGUUUCACCAUGGAAAAGAAACCCAAUUCUGAAGUUGCUUGUGGUUUCCAAGGCUUCUCCACGUGCUUCUUCACGUCUAAUGCUACUCCAAGAACUUUCUCAUGUCUAGAGUAUGGCAACUAAAGAGGUGAUUUGGGAUGAGUUUGGGUGGUUGGUGAUGGCAGAGAAAGAACAAAUUCGUAGGAAAUGGAAGGAAGGCUUGUUGGAGUUCUUCCCCAUGAUUUUGGGCUGAAUCAAGUGAUAUAGGAUGGCUGGAGUGAAUUCUUAGUCAAUGGAGUGACUCCUUUGCACUUGAGUAGCUGACACACCUCCCUAAAUUGCUCAACAUGUCAGGUCUAAAGUCAAGGAAAGCUGUGGUGAGUCACAUGGCUCAAAGAAAGUAUCCAAGGCUCAACAACUGGAAACUGCAAUCCUGAGCCUGGUGUGUAUAUGGGCUCACGAAUUGGGCUCAACUUCAUUAUCUGAUGCAUUUGAGUAGUCCAUCUUGAAGUUCAGACUCUCAUCUUUCCAACUACAUAUUAUUUGGGCCAAUCCAAGUUCGGAGAAAGAUGUUAAGGCCGAAAUGAUUUGCUAACCCAGUCUGCUCGUUUUUGCACCAUUUUGCAUCUUUUCUUAUCCAAAGACACCAUUGCUACCUAAGGCCCAAUGAACUGAAUGAUAAACAGAAAAGGGAUUAAAAGCACACGUUUGACUCAAUAACAUAACCAAAUCAUAAGCUAGAAGGGUACAAAAUGAUAUACAAUUGUGAACUGAUCAAAU
rnacentral:lncRNA from 1 species